UACGUAGGGAGCGAGCAUUGUCCGGAUUCAUUGGGCGUAAAGCGCUUUAAGGCGGUUCGGUAAGUCGGGUGUGAAACCUCCAGGCUCAACCUGGAGACGCCACUCGAUACUGCUGUGACUAGAGUUCGGUAGGGGAUCACGGAAUUCCUGGUGUAGCGGUGAAAUGCGCAGAUAUCAGGAGGAACACCGGUGGCGAAGGCGGUGAUCUGGGGCCGACACUGACGCUGUAGAGCGAAAGCGUGGGGAGCGAACAGG
rnacentral:rRNA from 1 species